UACGGGGGGGGGCAAGCGUUGUUCGGAAUUACUGGGCGUAAAGGGCUUGUAGGUGGCCAACUAAGUCAGACGUGAAAUCCCUCGGCUUAACCGGGGAACUGCGUCUGAUACUGGAUGGCUCGAGUGUGGGAGAGGGAUGCGGAAUUCCAGGUGUAGCGGUGAAAUGCGUAGAUAUCUGGAGGAACACCGGUGGCGAAGGCGGCAUCCUGGACCAUAACUGACACUGAUAAGCGAAAGCCAGGGGAGCAAACGGG
rnacentral:rRNA from 1 species